UACGGGGGGGGCAAGCGUUGUUCGGAAUUACUGGGCGUAAAGGGCUCGUAGGUGGCCAACUAAGUCAGACGUGAAAUCCCUCGGCUUAACCGGGGAACUGCGUCUGAUACUGGAUGGCUUGAGUUUGGGAGAGGAAUGCGGAAUUCCAGGUGUAGCGGUGAAAUGCGUAGAUAUCUGGAGGAACACCGGUGGCGAAGGCGGCAUUCUGGACCAAUACUGACGCUGAGGAGCGAAAGCGUGGGGAGCGAACAGG
rnacentral:rRNA from 1 species